CCUACGGGAUGCAGCAGUGAGGAAUAUUGGUCCAUGGCCGUAAGGCUGAACCAGCCAAGUAGCGUGAGUGAAGACUGCCCUAUGGGUUGUAAACCUCUUUUAUGCGGGGAUAAAGGUGUCCACGUGUGGAUGUUUGCAGGUACCGCAUGAAUAAGGACCGGCUAAUUCCGUACCAGCAGCCGCGGUAAUACGGAGGGUCCGGGCGUUAUCCGGAUUUCUUGGGUUUAACGGGAGCGUCGGCCGGUCUUUAAUCGUGCCGUGAAAUUUUGUGGCUAAACCAUGAGGGUGCGGCGCGAACGGGAGACCUAGAGUGGGCGAAAGGCAGGCGGAAUUCGUGGUGUAGAGGUGAAAUGCUUAGA
rnacentral:rRNA from 1 species